rnacentral:rRNA from 1 species
AUUGAACGCUGGCGGCAGGCCUAACACAUGCAAGUCGAGCGGAUGAAGGGAGCUUGCUCCUAGAUUCAGCGGCGGACGGGUGAGUAAUGCCUAGGAAUCUGCCUGGUAGUGGGGGAUAACGUCCGGAAACGGGCGCUAAUACCGCAUACGUCCUGAGGGAGAAAGUGGGGGAUCUUCGGACCUCACGCUAUCAGAUGAGCCUAGGUCGGAUUAGCUAGUUGGUGGGGUAAAGGCCUACCAAGGCGACGAUCCGUAACUGGUCUGAGAGGAUGGUCAGUCACACUGGAACUGAGACACGGUCCAGACUCCUACGGGAGGCAGCAGUGGGGAAUACUGGACAAUGGGCGAAAGCCUGAUCCAGCCAUGCCGCGUGUGUGAAGAAGGUCUUCGGAUUGUAAAGCACUUUAAGUUGGGAGGAAGGGCAGUAAGUUAAUACCUUGCUGUUUUGACGUUACCAACAGAAUAAGCACCGGCUAACUUCGUG